GACGAACGCUGGCGGCGUGCCUAAUACAUGCAAGUCGAACGCAGUGGGGACGGGUGAGUAACCCGUGGGUAACCUCCCAUCAGAGGGGAUAACACUUGGAAACAGGUGCUAAACCGCUACUGCUGGAUGGACCCGCGGUGCAUUAGCUAGUUGGUGAGGUAACGGCUCACAAAGGCCACGAUGCAUAGCUGACCUGAGAGGGUGACCGGCCACACUGUGACGGAUACAAGGCCCAGAAUCCUACGGGAGUCAGCAGUAGGGAAUCUGCGGAAAUGGACGAAAGUCGGACCGAGAAACGCCGCGGGAGUGAAGAAGGUUUUCGGAUCGUAAACCUUUGUUGUUAGAGAAGCGGUAGCUAACCAGAAAGCCACGGCUAACUACGUGCCAGCAGCCGCGGUAAUUC
rnacentral:rRNA from 1 species